rnacentral:rRNA from 2 species
CCUUAGGGCGAAGAUAGUACAGGACAGUGGCGGAUGGGUGAGUAACGCGUAAGAAACCUGCCUUUCACACCGGGAUAGCAGCUGGAAACGGCUAUUAAUACCGGAUGACACUUUUUCCCCGCAUGAGGAAGAGGUUAAAGAAUUUCGGUGAAAGAUGGUCUUGCGUCUGAUUAGCUAGUUGGUGGGGUAACGGCCUACCAAGGCGACGAUCAGUAGCCGGCCUGAGAGGGUGUACGGCCACAUUGGGACUGAGACACGGCCCAAACUCCUACGGGAGGCAGCAGUGGGGAAUUUUGCACAAUGGAGGAAACUCUGAUGCAGCGACGCCGCGUGAACGAAGAAGGUCUUCGGAUUGUAAAGUUCUGUCCUGGGUGAAGAUAAUGACGGUAACUCAGGAGGAAGCCCCGGCUAACUACGUGCCAGCCGCCGCGGUAA